AUGGGGUGCAGCAGGCGAGAAAACUUUGCAAUGUGCGAAAGCACGACAAGGUUAAUCCGAGUGAUUUCUGCUAAAGGAAUCUUUUGUCAGUCCUAGAAACACUGUUGAAUAAGGGGUGGGCAAGUUCUGGUGUCAGCCGCCGCGGUAAAACCAGCACCUCAAGUGGUCAGGAUGAUUAUUGGGCCUAAAGCAUCCGUAGCCUGUUUUGUCAGUUUUCGGUUAAAUCCAUACGCUCAACGUAUGGGCUGCCGGAAAUACUGCAAAACUAGGGAGUGGGAGAGGUAGACGGUACUCGGGAGGAAGGGGUAAAAUCCUUUGAUCUCUCGAUGACCACCUGUGGCGAAGGCGGUCUACCAGAACACGUCCGACGGUGAGGGAUGAAAGCUGGGGGAGCAAACCGGAUUAGAUACCCGGGUAGUCCCAGCUGUAAACUAUGCAAACUCAGUGAUGCAUUGGCUUGAUGCCAAUGCAGUGUUGCAGGGAAGCCGUUAAGUUUGCCGCCUGGGAAGUACGUACGCAAGUAUGAAACUUAAAGGAAUUGGCGGGGGAGCAC
rnacentral:rRNA from 1 species